rnacentral:rRNA from 1 species
UCCUACGGGGCGCAGCAGUGAGGAAUAUUGGUCAAUGGGCGGGAGCCUGAACCAGCCAAGCCGCGUGAGGGAAGAAGGUACAGCGUAUCGUAAACCUCUUUUGUCAGGGAACAAAGGCGGGGACUAGUCCCCGGAUGAGGGUACCUGAAGAAAAAGCAUCGGCUAACUCCGUGCCAGCAGCCGCGGUAAUACGGAGGAUCCGAGCGUUAUCCGGAUUUAUUGGGUUUAAAGGGUGCGCAGGCGGCCUGUUAAGUCAGCGGUAAAAGCCCGGGGCUCAACCCCGGCCAGCCGUUGAAACUGGCGGG